AAAAGGUUUACAAGUAUUCGAACCCAUUAAAAAAAUUGCUGACACGGCGGAUCUGAGUGGAAAUAAACAUGGAAUUUACUGAUAUUUCCACUUCCAUCGCCUCCUUCUCCUUCAUAAGAAUUUGGAUCUCCUUUACAACUUCAUCAAUCUCAUCACCAUCAGCUGCUUCGUCUUCAGAUCUAUUAUCUCCUUGGUUCCAGUCCUACACCGGGUCACUAGCUUCAGAACUCUACAGUUCCUUCUCUGUCACCUGCACCUGCCUCGGCGGAAGUGGGUGAUAUCAAUCACGCAGGCGGUGACAAGGAGAAAGGAUAUUUUGGAACGAGCGGCGGAAAGAAAAUCGCUGUUGGAGUGAUUAUGGCCGCCAGUGUGAUUGGAUUGGGUGGUUUGGUGUAUAAUUAGUUAAAAUAAUUUAGAAUCAGUGGUUCCAAAAUCGUUCUAAGAACCACCGAAGAGAAACUGCAAGUUUCUAUCCGCCAGCCAAUAAGUAAAGUAGCUCUCAUACAGUCAUACUAUCGAAGUAGCCUAGCAAUAGUUUCUUGAACCCACUUAGAGAUCUUGAAGAAACGCUAUUAUGGAAAAUUCACCACAUUUUCUUCAAGAUAAUUCUUGGUGACGAUAGCCGCCAUGAAAGACUUGUAAGCAUUUCUGUUUCUUUGGUUACUUUCUUGAUUUUCUCUUUUUAAUCUUGAAAAUAUUAAGUUAUUUCUCAUGUUUGUGUUCUUUUCCUGCAUUCUUGUCGAGGGUUCCUUGAUACCUUUACCUUUGGUCCAACAUAAAUAGUAGAUUUCUUGCAGAGACAUCUUUAUAAUGGUUGCAAAUUGGGAGAUACUUCCGUAGGCGUUACUUCCCAGCAGGGAUGGCAAAAUCAAUCCGAUCGGAUGGAUAUGCACCCAACCCGAAUCCAAUCAAACCUGAAUUUUAAAGUUUUGAUUGGGUUUGAGUAGAGUAUAGAUAAAAUUCAAAAGUUUUAUUUUGGGUACGAGUAGGGUAUGGAUAUUAGUAUUAUAAACCCAAACCCAACCAUACCUGAAAUUAUAUUUAUAAAUUAUAAUUUUACUUUUAAUUUAAUAUAGUGUAUUGCAAAAUAACUUCACCUCAUUUUCACAUAUUAAUUUGAAUUGGUCAAAUUUUUAAACUUUUA